rnacentral:lncRNA from 1 species
UCAAGAUCAUAAUUUCAUUAAAUAUGCAACUGUCUUACAAUGCUAACAAUCAAAAAAUGCAAUAUAAAUACUCAUCCACGGCUCCAUCAAACCCCUAAACCAAGGUUUAGCCACUCAUUAUGCUCGGCAACUUUGAUCAGUUUGCUGAGAUGCUCCACGCCAGGAUGAUUGAUCUCCGCGCCCCCAGGAUUGCCUCCCAAAAUACCUUCCGCUCCCCCCCN